rnacentral:rRNA from 1 species
UCUUCCGCAAUGGGCGAAAGUCUGACGGAGCAACGCCGCGUGAGUGAUUAAGGGUUUCGGAUCGUAAAACUCUGUUGUUAGGGAAGAACAAGUACCGAUCGAAUAGGGCGGUACCUUGACGGUACCUAACCAGACAGCCACGGCUAACUACGUGCCAGCAGCCGCGGUAAUACGUAGGUGGCAAGCGUUGUCCGGAAUUAUUGGGCGUAAAGCACGCGCAGGCGGUUUCUUAAGUCUGAUGUGAAAGCCCCCGGCUCAACCGGGGAGGGUCAUUGGAAACUGGGGAACUUGAGUGCAGAAGAGGAGAGUGAAAUUCCACGUGUAGCGGUGAAAUGCGUAGAGAUGUGGAGGAACACCAGUGGCGAAGGCGACUCUCUGGUCUGUAACUGACGCUGAGGAGCGAAAGCGUGGGGAGCGAACAG